UACGUAGGGUGCGAGCGUUGUCCGGAAUUAUUGGGCGUAAAGAGCUCGUAGGCGGUCUGUCGCGUCGGUCGUGAAAACUUGGGGCUUAACCCUGAGCUUGCGAUCGAUACGGGCAUGACUGGAGUUCGGCAGGGGAGACUGGAAUUCCUGGUGUAGCGGUGAAAUGCGCAGAUAUCAGGAGGAACACCCAUGGCGAAGGCAGCUCUCUGGUCGACCUCUGACGCUGAGACGCGAAAGCGUGGGGAGCGAACGGG
rnacentral:rRNA from 1 species